AGCAGCCGCGGUAAUUCCAGCUCCAAUAGCGUAUAUUAAAGUUGUUGCAGUUAAAAAGCUCGUAGUUGAAUUUCGGGGUCAGUAGGUUGGUCGUGCCACUGGUAUGCACUGGUCUCACUGAUUCCUCCUUCCUGAUGAACUGUAAUGCCAUUAAUUUGGUGUUGCGGGGAAUCUGAACUGUUACUUUGAAAAAUUAGAGUGUUUAAAGCAGGCUAACGCUUGAAUACAUUAGCAUGGAAUAAUGAAAUAGGACGAUCGAUCCUAUUUUGUUGGUUUCUAGGAUUGACGUAAUGAUUAAUAGGGAUAGUUGGGGGCAUUAGUAUUCAAUUGUCAGAAGUGAAAUUCUUGGAUUUAUUGAAGACUAACUACUGCGAAAGCAUUUGCCAAGGAUGUUUUCAUUAAUCAAGAACGAAAGUUAGGGGAUCGAAGACGAUCAGAUACCGUCGUAGUCUUAACCAUAAACUAUGCCGACUAGGGAUCGGAUGAUGUAAUUUUUAAUGACUCAUUC
rnacentral:rRNA from 1 species